rnacentral:rRNA from 1 species
GUCAAGCUACAAAGGGCUCAUGGAGGAUACCUAGGCACACAGAGGCGAUGAAAGGACGUGGUUACCUGCGAUAAGUCUCGGGGAGUUGGAAGCACACUUUGAUCCGGGAAUUUCCGAUGGGGCACCCCAUGUACGCCACUGAUAUAUAGUUGUGCGAGCUAACCAGCGACUGAACAUCUAGU